ACGUAGGGUGCAAGCGUUAAUCGGAAUUACUGGGCGUAAAGCGUGCGCAGGCGGUUUUGUAAGACAGAGGUGAAAUCCCCGGGCUCAACCUGGGAACUGCCUUUGUGACUGCAAGGCUGGAGUGCGGCAGAGGGGGAUGGAAUUCCGCGUGUAGCAGUGAAAUGCGUAGAUAUGCGGAGGAACACCAGUGGCGAAGGCGACUUUCUGGUCUGUAACUGACGCUGAGGCGCGAAAGCGUGGGGAGCAAACAGGA
rnacentral:rRNA from 1 species